rnacentral:rRNA from 1 species
GACAGAGGCCUCGAGCGUUAGGCGGAAUCACUGGGCUUAAAGCGUGUGUAGGCGGGUCGUUAAGUAUCUUGUGAAAUCCCAUGGCUCAACCAUGGAACUGCUGGGUAUACUGGCGAUCUUGAGCAAUUCAGGGGCAGAUGGAACAAGUGGUGGAGCGGUGAAAUGCGUAGAUAUCACUUGGAACGCCAAAGGUGAAGACAGUCUGCUGGGAAUUUGCUGACGCUGAGACACGAAAGCCAGGGGAGCGAACGGG